rnacentral:rRNA from 1 species
CGGACGGGUGAGUAACACGUGGAUAACCUACCUAUAAGACUGGGAUAACUUCGGGAAACCGGAGCUAAUACCGGAUAAUAUUUUGAACCGCAUGGUUCAAAAGUGAAAGACGGUCUUGCUGUCACUUAUAGAUGGAUCCGCGCUGCAUUAGCUAGUUGGUAAGGUAACGGCUUACCAGGGCAACGAUGCAUAGCCGACCUGAGAGGGUGAUCGGCCACACUGGAACUGAGACACGGUCCAG